CAGUCCCCAGGAGCCCGUGUGCCCAUCUCCUUUCCAAGUUGGCAUGCCCACUGUUGCACGUUGAACCAACUGGAUGCUCCGAAGGCUCAUAAACAGAUNCCUACUAAAUUUAGAACCACAAGAACCUUUGGUGUUUAUGAUCAACUCAGAACACUUGCUAAAUUACAGGUUGGAAAAUUAAAGAAGCGAUCAAGAAAGAAAAUCACCACCAUGUGUAGGAGCCCUGGAAGAAACAGACUGGAAAGCAAACACAAGCAUAUGGUGAAUGACACAAAGAAGCAUUUUCUUUGGCUUACAGAUCAUCAUUAUUANGUUGAUGAUGUCCAAAUACACUCACGGAAUUCUUGGUAUGAAAUUCUCUGACACCCAGGCACAAGAGCUCCUAAACUGUGGUGUAGAAUAAAACAAAUGCUCUCUCAACCCA
rnacentral:lncRNA from 1 species